GAAGGACAGGGGGAUGGGGAUUGACUUUAUUGAGCGUGCAAGGCACUGAGCUAAACAAAAGGCAGAGGUGACAGGAAGGGGCUGAGAAGAUGUCAAGGACACAGCGCUGAGGCAUGGGAGGACCAGGCGCAAAGGUCUGUGCAGAAACGUCACUUCCUCAGAGACAACUUCUUAAACGCCCUAUGCAAAACAUCCCCCUGGCACCUCCACUGCUGUCGCAUCAGUCUCUAACCUAUCCCCUUAUAUUGCUUAAUUCUUCAUCCCAGUUAUCACCCCGACAAGAUGUGUUUACUGUCUCUGCUACUAGAAUGCCAUCUUGUUCACUGCUAUACCCUCUGUCCUAGCCCGUGCCCUAUGCGGCUCAAAAAAUGCCUAAUUAGUUUUAAGAUUUUGUCACGUCAGAAUAAAGAAAAGAUUUUUGUAACGCCUAGGCAUCUUUUUCUUGCACGUUUUACCUUAUCACCGUAUUAAAGAUAAUAAAGUACACCUACAUCCCAUAACUUUAUAUAGAAAAAUGGUAGCUAACAUUUAUUGAGCAUUUUCUGUGUGAGGACUUUUCUAAAUGCUUUACAAAUACUUAUUCAUUUAAUUCUCACAACCCCAUGAGGUAGAUAUUAUUAUUAUCCCAUUUGACAGAAGAGUAAGCCAAGGCUAGAAUUACUUGACUUGUCCACUGGAAAAUAAGGUUGUAAGUGGCAGUGCUCAGUCAUAUCC